rnacentral:lncRNA from 1 species
GUGAAUUCAUCUUCCAGCACACUUCCCAUCUUCUCUCCUCAUCUCCUUCACUGCCGCCUCUUUCUCUUCCUCCUCCUCCGCCGUCGCCGCCCUUCAUCUCGUCUCCUCCGCCGCCGCCUUCUUCCAAGGGUGUUGUUGUUUCCGCACUGGAGGUAAGACGACAACGUCGGACUCCGAUGUUGGCAACAACAUAACAGCAUCGAAGGUGGAUCCAGCAAAGGCUGGGAAACUCGAAACUUUAUCCUAUAGAAGUUUAAUUGAUGGAAACUUUGUGUUUAAUUAAUGAAGUAAUACCCAUCUGCGUGAAUUUCUUGACAUGAUCUGAGAAAAACUGUGAGUAAAAAAGAUGAGUUUUUUCAAUUUGUUUCUCACUCUUGUUGUGCUUCUCUCUGCAAAUGGUGAAUCCAGUAGUAAAGGUGAAACCUUUAUUGUUUCCAGCUUCAGCUACCCUCAUACUAGACUUACACCCUUUAAUUUACGCUAUAUAAGAGGUUUGUGUCCUAAUUUACAGUGACCCUUUUGUUUUUUACUCAUUUAUUGUUGUUGUUUAUGAAGAAGCUUGAUUUUAGUGUUAAUUUUGGUUAGUUGGAAUUGGAUUUGAUCUUACUUGCUUCAUCUUCAAAGUCUAGGAGGUUUGCAUAAUUGGUAAGUUUUUGUUUAGGGAAAAUCGAAGAGACUGGUUAUUGGAAUAAUGAAUCUUGUGUUUAAUGUUAAUUAUGCUUUUAAAGGAGUUUAUGAUAUGGAAGGGAGAUGGAUCUGAUGGGUAGAAGAAUGACAGUGGUGGUGGUGGUUUGAAGAACUAUGGUGAUGGAAAAAACGGGAAGAAGAAUUAUGAGAAGGAACUUUCAGUGUGAUGAUUUUUCUGGGUUUGGAUGAAUUUUGUAGGUGUUGAAGCGUU